rnacentral:lncRNA from 1 species
AACAUAACGUAAGUAGCAAAUAACUUCGUAUAUAUAUAUCACGAAAAAACAAUUUUCUACAUCUUAUUAUUUUUGGAAUUGGAUGAAUCUAAAUUAUACUGCGAACAUUCUCUGAUAAUUUAUAAUUUGUAUAAAAUUAAAUUAGAUUAAUAAUUAGUAACAAAUGAUUUCUUAAAAAUGAUUUAUUUAUAGAAUUAACAUGAAAAUAAUAAUAUGAUUUAUAUAAGAGAUGAUAUAUUGACAAAUAAUCAUUUAAUAUUAUAUAUGAGAUUUUUUAUAUAUUAAAAAAAAGAAAAUAAAAAACAUUAUGC